GAUGAACGCUGGCGGCGUGCCUAAUACAUGCAAGUCGAGCGAACAGACGAGGAGCUUGCUCCUCUGACGUUAGCGGCGGACGGGUGAGUAACACGUGGAUAACCUACCUAUAAGACUGGGAUAACUUCGGGAAACCGGAGCUAAUACCGGAUAAUAUAUUUAACCGCAUGGUUCAAUAGUGAAAGACGGUUUUGCUGUCACUUAUAGAUGGAUCCGCGCCGCAUUAGCUAGUUGGUAAGGUAACGGCUUACCAAGGCAACGAUGCGUAGCCGACCUGAGAGGGGGAUCGGCCAAACUGGAACUGAGACACGGUCCAGACUCCUACGGGAGGCAGCAGUAGGGAAUCUUCCGCAAAGGGCGAAAGCAUGACGGAGCAACGCCGCGUGAGUGAUGAAGGUCUUCGGAUCGUAAAACUCUGUUAUUAGGGAAGAACAAAUGUGUAAGUAACUAUGCACGUCUUGACGGUACCUAAUCAGAAAGCCACGGCUAACUACGUG
rnacentral:rRNA from 1 species